AAGGAUCAUUAAUGAUUGUGAAUCGUCGCCUUCAGUGCUGGCCGGCUUCGGCAAGUGCACGUCGGUGACUUUCAUCCAAUACCCUGUGCACCUUUGGCCUCUUGCUAGCUUCGGCCGGCAGAGGAUUUUUACACACACUCGAAUGUAAUGAAAUUUAUUGUCGUGCGCAAGCACUAAUGUACAACUUUCAACAACGGAUCUCUUGGCUCUC
rnacentral:misc_RNA from 1 species